ACAGACACACAGCUACACUGACGCACACACAAAGGCAUACAGAUUCACAAAAAAAUACACUGGUAUACAGAUACACUGACGCACACACAAAGAUACAAACACUACAUACAUACUAACACCCAACAUACACAUACACAAACCUUUUGGGUGGCUUCUGUGGCUGAAGCUGUUGUGAGUUAAGGUCCCAGUCCGGUCCUCUCCACCCCGCCCCUUUCUGCGCAGCUUGAUUAUAUCUAGG